AUGUUUUAAAAAUAGAUGUGCUGUGUAGAGUGUAGAAAAUUGAAUUUCAGGCAAAUACUCUGGGGCAUACGCUGAGUUGUGCACAUCGUGGAGCUCGUUAAUAAGGCUCGGUGUACUACCUACUCAGAGUGAGGUGAAAGGAGAGUGAAGGGAGCAGUCUGAUAUGGGAAAAUGGAAGAUGAGUGAGAGUGAAAUUAAAUAGAAAAGGCUUGAAAGGUGAGGUAAACAAAGCACAAAGAUAAAAGGAAUUACAGUACAGCGCGAAUGAGUGGUCAACAGCAAACAGCACAAAAUUCUCUAGCACAAUUGUGGGUCAGGACUACAUUUUUAUCUGUUAAGGAGUUGGGGUUACAUCCAAUCAGAAAAAAUUAUUAAAGCUCUUCGCAUUCAAGAAUCUCGGCCUCUCGUAUUUCCUCCCCGUAGAUAACGCUCGCAUCUCACUUCAGCUCUCGCCGCUCUCCACUACGCACUUAUCGCAGUUGAUCGGAAUGUAGCGAGACUUUGGUGGCGACACUUAAGAAGUUUGAGGUUAUGGACAAAGGCUCACUUAUACCUUGUUGUUCACGAGCGUUCUCAGAGGGCAGAAGUAUAAAGCGACUAGAAAGCCUACCGACUGCCGGCAAUGAUUGCAGCUUCUCGACGUCGAGCCUUCAUAGUAAUUGGGGACGGACGCUCUUUGUUGCUACAAGAAAAUAAUCCGAGUCGAUUUCAGUACCUAGAAGGGUACGCUCAUCUAGAACGCUGAGAAAGCAUGUCUUCCGUCUAUCGUAACAACGAUUUUGGUUUCGUAUCUUUCCAUACGGAUGCAGCCAAGCAGAUUGAUAUUUUUUUCCUUUUGCUGGAAACUUCAAGACCAACACCCGCUCACAGCCACAACUCUGCUAAGUUUUCUUUCCUUUAUCCGGGACCCAAAGCUGUACAUUACCGUAUCUUCCACAGGGGUACUACUUUUCUGGGUUAUACGCUGAAAGCGAAGGAAUUAGAUAUUGCCUGGCGUAAGUAGCUGCAUACCCAGAAGCGAGACUCCUUCUUCUCUCACUCUCACUCUCUCUCUUACUGUACCUUAAAUUGUGCUUAAUUAAAAUGUCACUUUAUCUCUAAAA